ACUUCACCAGGCCCAGGAGCUGGUAUCAGGCACAACCCAUUGCCCACAACACCUAGUCUCACCACACCCCCAAGGGUAACCAGCAGUGAUAAACUUUGCGCAUAAGCGACAGCUUGACUCAGCUAGAGAAAAGAGAGCCGGCUAACCCGGUGCCAGCCGCCGCGGCUAUACCAUGGGGCUCAAGUUGAUAACCACCGGCGUUAAGCGUGAUUAAAGCUUACAUAAGUUAGGGUUAAACCAAUACUUAGUAGUGAUAAGCUUGUUAUUGAGAAAACCAUAAACGAAAGUUACCCUAAUUAUACUUGAAUACACGACAGCUGGGAAGCAAACUAGGAUUAGAUACCCUACUAUGCUCAGCCGUAAACAAUUAAUUUACACCAAUCAGCGCCAGGGAAUUACGAGCCAUGCUUAAAACCCAAAGGACUUGACGGUGUCCCACCCCCCUAGAGGAGCCUGUUCUAUAAUCGAUAAUCCCCGCUAUACCCUACCAUUCCUCGCCUCAGUCUGUAUACCUCCGUCGAAAGCCUACCCUGUGAACGUCCAGUAAGCCCAAUGCCUCAACACGUCAGGUCAAGGUGCAGCUCACGGAAUGGAAAGUAAUGGGCUACAAUUUCUAACAUAGAACAAACGAAAGGCCAUGUGAAACCAUAGUCACGAAGGUGGAUCUAGCAGUAAAAAGAAAAUAGAGUGUCUUUAACCGCCUGACGCUGG
rnacentral:rRNA from 1 species